CCUACGGGAGGCAGCAGUAGGGAAUWUUGGACAAUGGGCGCAAGCCUGAUCCAGCAACGCCGCGUGAGUGAGGAAGGCCUUAGGGUUGUAAAGCUCUUUCGCGGGGGACGAUGAUGACGGUAACCCWWGAGAAGAAGCCCCGGCUAACUUCGUGCCAGCAGCCGCGGUAAU
rnacentral:rRNA from 1 species